rnacentral:rRNA from 1 species
GACGAACGCUGGCGGCGUGCCUAACACAUGCAAGUCGAACGAAGUGGCGAACGGGUGAGUAAUGUGUAAUCAACCUGCCCGUCAGAGGGGGACAACAGUUGGAAACGACUGCUAAUACCGCAUAAGGAAGGUGGUGAUUGCGGCUGAUUAGCGAGUUGGAGGGGUAACGGCCCACGAAGGCGAUGAGCAGUAGCCGGUCUGAGAGGAUGAACGGCCACAUUGGGACUGAGACACGGCCCAGACUCCUACGGGAGGAGGAAUGGGGAAAUAUCCGCAAAUGGGGGAAGGCCUGCUGAACAAAGCCGGCUGGGUGAUGACAGCCCUCGGGUUUUAAAGGUCUGUUAAUCGGGGAGCGGUACCGGCAUAAGAAGCCACGGCUAACUACGUGCCAGCAGCCGCGGUAAUAC